GACGAACGCUGGCGGCGUGCUUAACACAUGCAAGUCGAACGCUGAAGCACCAGCUUGCUGGUGUGGAUGAGUGGCGAACGGGUGAGUAAUACGUGAGUAACCUGCCCUUGACUCUGGGAUAAGCCCGGGAAACUGGGUCUAAUACUGGAUGCUACAUGUCACCGCAUGGUGGUGUGUGGAAAGGGUUUACUGGUCUUGGAUGGGCUCACGGCCUAUCAGCUUGUUGGUGAGGUAAUGGCUCACCAAGGCGACGACGGGUAGCCGGCCUGAGAGGGUGACCGGCCACGCUGGGACUGAGACACGGCCCAGACUCCUACGGGAGGCAGCAGUGGGGAAUAUUGCACAAUGGGCGAAAGCCUGAUGCAGCGACGCCGCGUGAGGGAUGACGGCCUUCGGGUUGUAAACCUCUUUCAGCAGGGAAGAAGCCACAAGUGACGGUACCUGCAGAAGAAGCGCCGGCUAACUACGUGCCAGCCGCCGCGGUAA
rnacentral:rRNA from 1 species